UUGAACGCUGGCGGCAGGCCUAACACCUGCAAGUCGAACGGUAACAGGAAACAGCUUGCUGUUUCGCUGACGAGUGGCGGACGGGUGAGUAAUGUCUGGGAAACUGCCUGAUGGAGGGGGAUAACUACUGGAAACGGUAGCUAAUACCGCAUAACGUCGCAAGACCAAAGAGGGGGACCUUCGGGCCUCUUGCCAUCGGAUGUGCCCAGAUGGGAUUAGCUAGUAGGUGGGGUAACGGCUCACCUAGGCGACGAUCCCUAGCUGGUCUGAGAGGAUGACCAGCCCCCCUGAAACUGAGACACGGUCCGGACUCCAAGGGGAGGCAGCGGUGGGAAAUUUGGCAAAUGGGGCGCGGGCCUGUGGAAGCAUGCCGCGUGUAUGAAGAAGGCCUUCGGGUUGUAAAGUACUUUCAGCGGGGAGGAAGGGAGUAAAGUUAAUACCUUUACUCAUUGACGUUACCCGCAGAAGAAGCACCGGCUAACUCCGUG
rnacentral:rRNA from 1 species